rnacentral:misc_RNA from 1 species
AAAAUAACUUACUUUGGAAUUUUUGUUGAGGUUGAAGGUGUGCCUGCAUUAAUUCACCAGACAGAGGUGUCAUGGGAUGCAACUGUGGACCCUGCAUCAUAUUUUAAAGUUGGUCAGAUUGUGGAGGCAAAAGUUCACCAAUUGGAUUUCACAUUGGAACGUAUUUUCUUAUCGUUAAAAGAGAUCACGCUGAUUGAGGCCUUGGAAUCU